UACGAGUGCCCCAAGCGUUAUCCGGAAUCACUGGGCGUAAAGGGUGUGUAGGUGGCCUUGUUAGUCUUCUGUUAAAUUCUUCGGCUCAACCGGGGGUCUGCAGAGGAAACGGCAAAGCUUAGAGGAUGCGAGAGGUUUGCGGAACUCAUGGUGUAGGGGUGAAAUCCGUUGAUAUCAUGGGGAACACCGAAAGCGAAGGCAGCAAACUGGCGCACUCCUGACACUGAAACACGAAAGCGUGGGUAGCGAAUGGG
rnacentral:rRNA from 1 species